CACUGACCAAUACGUAUUUAGAAGACUCAUGCUUUCCUUUUUUUGUUAACACACGUUCCCCCAAAAAAAGCAGAGUUUCGGCGGGUUUCUUGUUCUUGAAACUCCAAACCCGGCGAACUCGAUUUGAACUGUAUUCGGGAGCGUAAAAACCGCGAAUGUGGGAAAAACGAGACGGGUACAACCACAAAGAACUUCGGUUAAGACUGUGGAAUUAUUAACAUCGUUAAUAAUUACGUAGUUCCGGUUCUAAAGAAUGCCGGGCUGAUCUGAGGAUCAAAUCAGAUACUCGCCCAUUUCAACUUUGGCCGUGGACGAGGCGAAAGCGGUGUAGUUUGUGUCUAAAUCGCGAGUUUGAAACCGGAAGAGUGAAUUAGGUUAUUCAAAUAAUUGUAACUAGAAAUACCCUCCAGUGCAUCCGUCAAACGAUAAAUAGGAGGAAGAGCCGUUUUCGACACCACGUCCAUCGUUGGAAUCCAGCCCCGAACGCUAUUGAAGGUGGCCGCGCAUCCCAUUCGUAAGCGCUACAACACUCGCGGAAAAGGAAAACCAGCCGCGGCUCGAAUACCAGAGUUCAUCGGCGGAUUCAUCGCCCACGUCUCCCAUGCACGCA